AGACGGUGUAAUACUGCAUGGGCUGUUUUUGCAUUGGAGUCAGAAUGCAAGUGGGCUCUGAGUGGAACACCUUUGCAGAACCGUGUUGGAGAACUUUACUCUCUUAUUCGGUUUUUGCAAAUCUUCCCCUACUCAUACUAUUUCUACAAGGACUGUAGCUGUGAGAUACUAGAUACCAGUAUGAAGAAACAAUGCGACUGUGGUCACUCAUCUGUUAGGCACUUUUGCUGGUGGAAUAAGUACAUAUCAACACCAAUACAGUAUGGGUCAACAAGUUUCAAAGGAAAAAGAGCCAUGACUCUUCUGAAGGAAAAAGUUCUGAAAGGCAUAGUGUUAAGGCGCACAAAGAAAGGUCGAGCGGCAGAUCUUG